AUUGAACGCUGGCGGCAGGCCUAACACAUGCAAGUCGAGCGAGCGGCGGACGGGUGAGUAAUGUCUGGGGACUGCCCGAUAGAGGGGGAUAACCACUGGAAACGGUAGCUAAUACCGCAUACCAUCGGAUAACCCACAGGGGAUUAGCUAGUAGGUGGGGUAAUGGCUCACCUAGGCGACGAUCCCUAGCUGGUCUGAGAGGAUGACCAGCCAACCUGGAACUGAGACACGGCCCAGACUCCUACGGAGGCAGCAGUGGGGAAUAUUGCACAAUGGGCGCAAGCCUGAUGCAGCCAUGCCGCGUGUAUGAAGAAGGCCCUAGGGUUGUAAAGUACUUUCAGUGGGGAGGCGUUACCGACAGAAGAAGCACCGGCUAACUCCGUGCCAGCAGCCGCGGUAAUAC
rnacentral:rRNA from 1 species